rnacentral:rRNA from 1 species
UCUACGGGGGGCAGCAGUGAGGAAUAUUGGUCAAUGGCCGGAAGGCUGAACCAGCCAAGCCGCGUGAAGGACGAAGGUCCCAAGCGUUGUAAACUUCUUUUGUCAAGGGACAAAAUCAGGCUCGAGAGCCUGACCGCGUGUACUUGAAGAAAAAGCAUCGGCUAACUCCGUGCCAGCAGCCGCGGUAAUACGGAGGAUGCGAGCGUUAUCCGGAUUUAUUGGGUUUAAAGGGUGCGUAGGCGGGCGGAUAAGUUAGAGGUGACAUCCCGAGGCUCAACUUCGGAAUUGCAUUUGAUACUGUGAGGCUAGAGAGCAGUUGCGGUAGGCGGAAUGUAUGGUGUAGCGGUGAAAUGCUUAGAGAUCAUACAGAACACCGAUUGCGAAGGCAGCUUACCAAGCUACUUCUGACGUUGAGGCACGAAAGCGUGGGGAGCAAACAGGAUUAGAUACCCUGGUAGUC